AAAAAUGGCUGAGCAAAUAAAUAAGAAAGUAAUCGGAGCUGACAGGCAGAAGCCAGAGGAAGCAAAAUCUAUUUUUCCAGCCGUUCCAGGGACUGGAUGCCAUCUCUCUCUUGGAUGACAUAAACCACUCCAAAUCAAGUUGACCCACCAGAUUCUUUGGUCAUCUGGCAUAUUUUGGGGCUGGUUCCUGUUUUAAUGACAGUCUGACCCUGGUUGUGGAGGGUUCCUCUGGCUUUCAGCUGGCCAAAAGUACCACCCAGCAAGAUGUAGUUUCAAGAAGGAGGAGUUGGAGAUUCCCUUUGGAAUAACAAGGCAUUAUCCUGGGUCCUGAGCUGGCAGGGAAUGCUAUGCCACACUUUCCGUUGUCACCCAUUCACCUCGGAGGAGAAGCUGGUGCUUAUUUAAUAACCCCCUGCCCAGGCAGCCAUGGUGCCCCAGCCUUUGCUGGCCACCCCCCAGACCCAAAGACCAUGUGUCACAGCCCCUGGACUCAAUGUCAUGACACAAGUGAGAGGCUGCAGGUCAGGAGUUUUUUGUGUGAGCCGGGAUGCUUUUCAGCAGAUAGACAGAGCUGGAAUAAAACUUUAAAGGUCA